UACGUAGGCAGCGAGCGUUGUUCGGAGUUACUGGGCGUAAAGGGUGUGUAGGCGGUUUGGUAAGUCUGGUGUGAAAUCUCCCGGCUCAACUGGGAGGGUGCGCCGGAAACUGCCAAACUAGAGUGCGGGAGAGGAAAGUGGAAUUCCUGGUGUAGCGGUGAAAUGCGUAGAUAUCGGAAGGAACAUCAGUGGCGAAGGCGACUUCCUGGACCAAUACUGACGCUCAGGUGCGAAAGCGUGGGGAGCAAACAGGG
rnacentral:rRNA from 1 species